rnacentral:rRNA from 1 species
UUGCACGCUGGCGGCAGGCCUAACACAUGCCAGUCGAGCGGAUGAAGGGAGCUUGCUCCUGGAUUCAGCGGCGGACGGGUGAGUAAUGCCUAGGAAUCUGCCUGGUAGUGGGGGAUAACGUCCGGAAACGGGCGCUAAUACCGCAUACGUCCUUAGGGAGAAAGUGGGGGAUCUUCGGACCUCACGCUAUCAGAUGAGCCUAGGUCGGAUUAGCUAGUUGGUGGGGUAAAGGCCUACCAAGGCGACGAUCCGUAACUGGUCUGAGAGGAUGAUCAGUCACACUGGAACUGAGACACGGUCCAGACUCCUACGGGAGGCAGCAGUGGGGAAUAUUGGACAAUGGGCGAAAGCCUGAUCCAGCCAUGCCGCGUGUGUGAAGAAGGUCUUCGGAUUGUAAAGCACUUUAAGUUGGGAGGAAGGGCAGUAAGUUAAUACCUUGCUGUUUUGACGUUACCAACAGAAUAAGCACCGGCUAACUUCGUG